rnacentral:rRNA from 1 species
GUACAAUAGGCAAAUCCGUUGUAUGAUCCGAAGACGUGAUGUGGAGCGAAAUAAAGUAGUGAAGCGUGUGAGCCAUGUGCCGAGAAAAGCUGCUAUUGUGUAAUGCGUGCCCGUACCGUAAACCGACACAGGUGGAUGAGGAGAGAAUCCUAAGGCCGACGGAAGAAGCAUUGUUAAGGAAUUCGGCAAAAUGACCCCGUAACUUCGGGAGAAGGGGUGCCUGCGAGAGCAGGCCGCAGAGAAUAGGCUCAAGCAACUGUUUAGCAAAAACACAGGUCUAUGCGAAACCGAAAGGUGAAGUAUAUGGGCUGACGCCUGCCCGGUGCUGGAAGGUUAAGAGGAGAGGUUAGCGAAAGCGAAGCUUUGAAUUUAAGCCCCAGUAAACGGCGGCCGUAACUAUAACGGUCCUAAGGUAGCGAAAUUCCUUGUCGGGUAAGUUCCGACCCGCACGAAAGGCGUAAUGAUUUGAGCACUGUCUCGACAAUGCAUCCGGUGAAAUUGAAGUACCAGUGAAGAUGCUGGUUACCCGCGCCAGGACGGAAAGACCCCAUGGAGCUUUACUCCAGUUUGAUACUGGGAUUCGGUACUGCAUGUACAGGAUAGGUGGGAGACGAAGAAGGAUGGACGCCAGUCUGUCCGGAGUCGCUGUUGGGAUACCACCCCUGUAGUACUGGGUUUCUAACCAGUUACCAUGAUCUGGUAAUGGGACAAUGUCAGGCGGGGAGUUUGACUGGGGCGGUCGCCUCCGAAAGGGUAUCGGAGGCGCUCAAAGGUUCCCUCAGAAUGGUUGGAAACCAUUUGAAGAGUGCAAAGGCAGAAGGGAGCUUGACUGCGACACCGACGGGUGGAGCAGGUACGAAAGUAGGACUUAGUGAUCCGGUGGUAUAAAGUGGGAUUGCCAUCGCUCAACGGAUAAAAGCUACCCUGGGGAUAACAGGCUUAUCACUCCCAAGAGUUCACAUCGACGGAGUGGUUUGGCACCUCGAUGUCGGCUCAUCGCAUCCUGGGGCUGUAGCAGGUCCCAAGGGUUGGGCUGUUCGCCCAUUAAAGCGGUACGCGAGCUGGGUUCAGAACGUCGUGAGACAGUUCGGUCCCUAUCCGGCGCGGGCGGAGGAUAUUUGAGAGGAGCUGUCCUUAGUACGAGAGGACCGGGAUGGACGGACCACUGGUGUAUCUGUUGUCGACCAACGGCAUGGCAGAGUAGCCAAGUCUGGAAGGGAUAAACGCUGAAGGCAUCUAAGCGUGAAGCCCCCCUCAAGAUGAGAUAUCCCUCCUUCGGGAGUAAGACCCCUUGAAGACUACAAGGUAGAUAGGGCAGAGGUGGAAGCAUGGCAACAUGUGGAGCUGACUGUUACUAAUAGGUCGAGGGCUUAAUCUG